ACGCUCGACACCUACGGGAGCAGCAGUGGGGAAUAUUGGGCAAUGGGCGAAAGCCUGACCCAGCAACGCCGCGUGAGGGAAGAAGGUUUUCGGAUUGUAAACCUCUGUCCUCAGGGACGAAGGACGUGACGGUACCUGAGGAGGAAGCCCCGGCUAACUACGUGCCAGCAGCCGCGGUAAUCUGAGGCGGGCUGGCAAGGC
rnacentral:rRNA from 1 species